AGAUAAUAGAUACCCGGGUAGUCCUGGCCUUAAACGAUGAAUACUUGGUGUCUGGAGUCUCUAUAGCUCCGGGUGCCGUCGCUAACGUUUUUAGUAUUCCGCCUGGGGAGUACGCACGCAAGUGUGAAACUCAAAGGAAUUGACGGGGACCCGGCACAAGCGGUGGAGCAUGUGGUUUAAUUCGACGCAACGCGAAGAACCUUACCUAGGCUAGAAUGUGAGGGAAUGUUGGGUAACGCCAACAGUCUGGGAAACCAGACCCAAAACCAAGGUGCUGCAUGGCUGUCGUCAGCUCGUGUCGUGAGAUGUUGGGUUAA
rnacentral:rRNA from 1 species